CCUACGGGGGGCAGCAGUGAGGAAUAUUGGUCAAUGGACGAGAGUCUGAACCAGCCAAGUAGCGUGUAGGAUGACUGCCCUAUGGGUUGUAAACUUCUUUUAUAUGUGAAUAAACUGUUCCACGUGUGGGAUUUUGUAUGUACCAUAUGAAUAAGGAUCGGCUAACUCCGUGCCAGCAGCCGCGGUAAUACGGAGGAUCCGAGCGUUAUCCGGAUUUAUUGGGUUUAAAGGGAGCGUAGGUGGAUUGUUAAGUCAGUUGUGAAAGUUUGCGGCUCAACCGUAAAAUUGCAGUUGAAACUGGCAGUCUUGAGUACAGUAGAGGUGGGCGGAAUUCGUGGUGUAGCGGUGAAAUGCUUAGAUAUCACGAAGAACUCCGAUUGCGAAGGCAGUUCACUGGACUGCAACUGACACUGAGGCUCGAAAGUGUGGGUAUCAAACAGGAUUAGAUACCCUAGUAGUC
rnacentral:rRNA from 1 species